rnacentral:lncRNA from 1 species
GAUAAUCUGAACAAGGAACAUCAGAAAGCCCUGCAUAAUGCAGAGAUUGACCAUCCAGGACAGGGUGAGCAAUAUAUGCAUGAGCAUAGCCCUUGGUGGUGAGCAUAGCCCCUGGUGGUGCGCACAACCCAUAUGAGUGCAGAUGUGUGACCAGUGGAGAGUUGAGAGCUGGGUCAAGAGACGCAAGACUGCCGCUUCGAACAGAUCCUCAGGUGUAUCUGAAGGCAAAAAGGCAAAAGGCACGUAUCGGGGUGGCAGUAUAUCACAGCUGCAACAUAUUGCUGCCAGGGUACGUAUGUAUAACAAGCUUAUUUUCUUAGUUAUUUGUUUUUAUGUUUACAGUCAUGUUUUGUAGCAAAAUAUCAUAUGUUUAUAUAUUAAUAUGAGAACAUGAACUGUAGGAGUCUCAGUCUCAAGGUCAACCUAUCAAUUGGUUGGAUGUGUAUGUGGCCACCCGCGAUGGUCUGCCUGAGACUGGUCAGAUAGCAGUAAUAAGUUAACUUUAUACUAAUAUGUUGUUUAUAAACUGUGAUGACCUUUUUUAGCAUUUUUUUAUUUAUGUUUAACUAUUUAAUUGUUAACCUUUUGACAAGACACUUAUAAGAGCUUAAUGAACGAGCGUUAUCCUAAAGGCACCCCGCGUCCGUCGAUUGAUUAAGAAUUGUGGGAGAGGGCGUCAGUCGUGAAGAAAAACUACGUUAAAGGCCAAGGACAAAAAUGUCGCUCAACCAUCAGUGGCACAGGCAGCUCUGCUACCCAGUCUACACAGUCAUCAAGUCAUCCAGCCUAUCAUACUCCUGCUGACUAUGUGAGAGUGAUCUGUCGAGAUCGUGAUCUUCUUCGUAUACUGGGCGGGCAUCUACAGUCUCUGAGUCCUGAUGAGUUAGUGGAUGCAGUGGCGGCAGCAGCACGACAUCAGGAUGGCGAUGAGGUAUACAUAGAUAUUGUUACUAUCACUGUCUUACUUAUGUUUCACUACAUUGUCUAUUGUUUAGCUUUUUCUAAGUCAUAGCAGUAUCAACACAUGUAACAUGUUUUAUUCUUUUGUUAUAGGAUCCUACUAAUUUGGAUGAUGCAUGAAGAGCUAGACUUG